GACGAACGCUGGCGGCGUGCUUAACACAUGCAAGUCGAACGAUGAUGCCCAGCUUGCUGGGUGGAUUAGUGGCGAACGGGUGAGUAACACGUGAGUAACCUGCCCCUGACUCUGGGAUAAGCGUUGGAAACGACGUCUAAUACUGGAUAUGACUACCGGCCGCAUGGUCUGGUGGUGGAAAGAUUUUUUGGUUGGGGAUGGACUCGCGGCCUAUCAGCUUGUUGGUGAGGUAAUGGAUCACCAAGGCGACGACGGGUAGCCGGCCUGAGAGGGUGACCGGCCACACUGGGACUGAGACACGGCCCAGACUCCUACGGGAGGCAGCAGUGGGGAAUAUUGCACAAUGGGCGAAAGCCUGAUGCAGCAACGCCGCGUGAGGGAUGACGGCCUUCGGGUUGUAAACCUCUUUUAGUAGGGAAGAAGCGAGAGUGACGGUACCUGCAGAAAAAGCACCGGCUAACUACGUGCCAGCAGCCGCGGUAA
rnacentral:rRNA from 1 species